CCUACGGGAGGCAGCAGUGGGGAAUAUUGGACAAUGGGCGCAAGCCUGAUCCAGCGACGCCGCGUGAGUGAUGAAGGCCUUCGGGUUGUAAAGCUCUGUUGAGGGAGAAGAAAACAGCCGGCGCAAAUAGCUCCGGCUCUUGACGGUAUCCCUUUAGAAAGCACCGGCUAACUCUGUGCCAGCAGCCGCGGUAAGACAGAGGGUGCAAACGUUGCUCGGAAUUACUGGGCGUAAAGCGCGUGUAGGCGGACUGGUAAGUCGGACGUGAAAUCCCUGGGCUCAACCCAGGAACUGCAUCCGAAACUAUCAGUCUUGAGUGGUGGAGAGGGAAGCAGAAUUCCUGGUGUAGAGGUGAAAUUCGUAGAUAUCAGGAGGAACACCGGUGGCGAAGGCGGCUUCCUGGACACUAACUGACGCUGAGACGCGAAAGCGUGGGGAGC
rnacentral:rRNA from 1 species